rnacentral:rRNA from 1 species
AGCAGCCGCGGUAAUUCCAGCUCCAAUAGCGUAUAUUAAAGUUGCUGCAGUUAAAAAGCUCGUAGUUGAAUUUCGGGACCAUCACGUCGGUCGUGCCUCGGUACGUACUGGCGUCGUUGGUUUCUCCCUUCUGACGAACCAUGAUGUCAUUUAUUUGGUGUCGUGGGGAAUCAGGACUGUUACUUUGAAAAAUUGGAGUGUUUAAAGCAGGCUCACGCUUGAAUACAUUAGCAUGGAAUAAUGAAAUAGGACGUUUGAUUCUAUUUUGUUGGUUUCUAGGAUCGACGUAAUGAUUAAUAGGGAUAGUUGGGGGCAUUAGUAUUCAAUUGUCAGAGGUGAAAUUCUUGGAUUUAUUGAAGACUAACUACUGCGAAAGCAUUUGCCAAGGAUGUUUUCAUUAAUCAAGAACGAAAGUUAGGGAUCGAAGACGAUCAGAUACCGCCGUAGUCUUAACCAUAAACUAUGCUGACUAGGGAUCGGAUGAUGUUAAUUUUAAUGUACUCAUUUGGCGUACCG